ACUCCUACGGGAGGCAGCAGUGGAGAAUAUUGCACAAUGGGCGCAAGCCUGAUGCAGCCAUGCCGCGUGUAUGAAGAAGGCCUUCGGGUUGUAAAGUACUUUCAGCAGUGAGGAAGGUGGGUAUGUUAAUAGCAUACUCAUUUGACGUUAGCUGCAGAAGAAGCACCGGCUAACUCCGUGCCAGCAGCCGCGGUAAUACGGAGGGUGCGAGCGUUAAUCGGAAUUACUGGGCGUAAAGCGCAUGCAGGUGGUUUGUUAAGUCAGAUGUGAAAGCCCGGGGCUCAACCUCGGAAUUGCAUUUGAAACUGGCAAACUAGAGUACUGUAGAGGGGGGUAGAAUUUCAGGUGUAGCGGUGAAAUGCGUAGAGAUCUGAAGGAAUACCGGUGGCGAAGGCGGCCCCCUGGACAGAUACUGACACUCAGAUGCGAAAGCGUGGGGAGCAAACAGGAUUAGAUACCCCGGUAGGCUCUGC
rnacentral:rRNA from 1 species